CCUGGGAUUCCUGGAGUGCUUUCUGAUGUAGAUCAUCAAAGGUGGAACUGGCAGAGGGUGUUAAACUCCAGGUGAACAUUAUCACUCGACUGAGCAAGGAACCAUCAAAGCUCAUGACAGCUCUGUUUCCCAGAGAGGUGAUGGCCGUCUCUUCGUUGACAGGAAAACAUUUGAAUGUAUUCUGGGACCAGGAGGCACAGAAAAAAGCUGUGCCCAACCAAAGUGCCAUUUGCACCUUUUAUUUAGGCAAAACCAGAUGGAGGAGAAGGAUGUCUUUAAAAUAUAUUAAUUAAAGCUUGAAUCGAAAUUGCUUAAGAAGUUCAAGAUUUAGGUUUAAAACGGCUUUUUUUUACUCAAAGGGAGUAACUUGGAGGCUAAGGCCUAACUUUUGAUUCGUUA